CUAUACAUGACUCUGUGCAUAUCAAUAAGCGGAGGAAAAGAAACUAACAAGGAUUCCCUUAGUAACGGCGAGUGAAGCGGGAAGAGCUCAAAUUUGAAAUCUUCAAGGUUUUACCUUGACGAAUUGUAGUUUAAAGAAGUGUUUUCUGCUGAAGUUUUGGUAAAAGUUCUUUGGAAUAGGACAUCAUAGAGGGUGAGAAUCCCGUAUUUGACCAUUAUUUUCAGCUUUGUGAUACACUUUCAAAGAGUCGGAUUGUUUGGGAAUGCAGUCCAAAAUGGGUGGUAAAUUUCAUCUAAAGCUAAAUAUUGGCGAGAGACCGAUAGCGAACAAGUACCGUGAGGGAAAGAUGAAAAGAACUUUGAAAAGAGAGUUAAACAGUACGUGAAAUUGUCAAAAGGGAAGCGUUUGACACCAGUGUUGUUUUCUCGAAAAUCAAUUAAAAAUGGCUCGAUUUUGUAUUGCUUGAGACCUUAAAAGCUCACUGUACAUUUUUCGUGUCUUUUUUAAUGCACUUUUCGUUUAACAAGUCAACAUCAGUUUCUUUUGUUGUAAAAGGGUCAUUGGAAGGUGGCUUCCUUUUCGGAGAAAGUGUUUAUAGCCUUUGGCCUCUGCAAUCGGAGAGACUGAGGUCUGCAGCGUAGACUCUUCGGGGUUAGAUACAUUUGUGCUAAGUUAUAGCUUUUUAUAGACAACUUGUUGACUAUAAUUAGUCUUGUAGCUUACUCGCUUAUGCUAUUUUACCUACGCUUAGGAUGUUGAAGAUGUAGCACAUCAU
rnacentral:rRNA from 1 species